GGGUUGUGAGGUUAAGCGACUAAGCGUACACGGUGGAUGCCCUGGCAGUCAGAGGCGAUGAAGGACGUGCUAAUCUGCGAUAAGCGUCGGUAAGGUGAUAUGAACCGUUAUAACCGGCGAUUUCCGAAUGGGGAAACCCAGUGUGAUUCGUCACACUAUCAUUAACUGAAUCCAUAGGUUAAUGAGGCGAACCGGGGGAACUGAAACAUCUAAGUACCCCGAGGAAAAGAAAUCAACCGAGAUUCCCCCAGUAGCGGCGAGCGAACGGGGAGGAGCCCAGAGCCUGAAUCAGUGUGUGUGUUAGUGGAAGCGUCUGGAAAGGCGCGCGAUACAGGGUGACAGCCCCGUACA
rnacentral:rRNA from 1 species